CUGGCUCAAGACGAACGCUGGCGGUGCGCCUUAUGCAUGCAAGUCGAGCGAAGCUUUUCAGUAGUUUACUACAGAAAAUGACUGAGCGGCGAACGGGUGAGUAACGCGUGAGCAAUCUACCUUAGUUACUGGGAUAGCCCGAGGAAACUCGGAUUAAUACCGGAUAAUCUUAUUAAAUCACAUGAUAUUUUAAGUAAAGGUCAGCCGAACUAAGAUGAGCUCGCGUUCUAUCAGCUUGUUGGUGGGGUAAAAGCCUACCAAGGCUACCACGGAUAGCUGGUCUGAGAGGACGAUCAGCCACACUGGGACUGAGCACACGGCCCAGACUCCUACGGGAGGCUGCAGCAGGGGAAUAUUGCGCAAUGAGCGAAAGCUUGACGCAGCGACACCGCGUGUGGGAUGACGGUUCUAGGAUUGUA
rnacentral:rRNA from 1 species